AUUGAACGCUGGUGGCAUGCCUUACACAUGCAAGUCGAACGGUAACGGGUCCUUCGGGAUGCCGACGAGUGGCGAACGGGUGAGUAAUAUAUCGGAACGUGCCCAGUAGUGGGGGAUAACUGCUCGAAAGAGCAGCUAAUACCGCAUACGACCUGAGGGUGAAAGGGGGGGAUCGCAAGACCUCUCGCUAUUGGAGCGGCCGAUAUCAGAUUAGCUAGUUGGUGGGGUAAAGGCCUACCAAGGCAACAAUCUGUAGUUGGUCUGAGAGGACGACCAGCCACACUGGGACUGAGACACGGCCCAGACUCCUACGGGAGGCAGCAGUGGGGAAUUUUGGACAAUGGGCGCAAGCCUGAUUCAGCAAUGCCGCGUGCAGGAAGAAGGCCUUCGGGUUGUAAACUGCUUUUGUCAGGGAAGAAAUCUUCUGGGCUAAUACCCCGGGAGGAUGACGGUACCUGAAGAAUAAGCACCGGCCAACUACGUGCCAGCCGCCGCCGUAA
rnacentral:rRNA from 1 species